GACAGGGGUCUCGAGCGUUAAUCGGAAUUACUGGGCUUAAAGGGUGCGUAGGCCGGCCCGCAAGUGCUUUGUGAAAUCCCCUGGCUCAACCAGGGAACUGCUUGGCAUACUGCGGGUCUUGAGGAAGGUAGGGGUUGCCAGAACUGUAGGUGGAGCGGUGAAAUGCGUAGAUAUCGUUUGGAACGCCAAUGGUGAAAACAGCAGGCUGGGGAUGUGCUGACGCUGAGACGCGAAAGCCAGGGGAGCAAACGGG
rnacentral:rRNA from 1 species